rnacentral:rRNA from 1 species
AGCGUAGGCCGUGAGGUAAGCGUGUUGUGAAAUGUAGGCGCCCAACGUCUGCACUGCAGCGCGAACUGCCCCACUUGAGUGCGCGCAACGCCGGCGGAACUCCUCGUGUAGCGGUGAAAUGCUUAGAUAUGACGAAGAACCCCGAUUGCGAAGGCAGCUGGCGGGAGCGUAACUGACGCUGAAGCUCGAAAGCGCGGGUAUCGAACA